AAUAAGUUCAUUUUUCAGUUUUUUGAUACAAUGUUUUGACUCUUUCGUCUUAUUUGAAAUUUUUUUGCGAUUAAUAUUUUUAUUCUUACUAGACGAUAAAACAUGAAUAGUACUUUAUGUGUGACUAAUUUUUUUAAAUUUUUGUACAAAUUUUUCAAAUAAGACAAAUGAUCAAACUUUGGACAAAGUGAUCGAAAAAUGAAGUUAUU
rnacentral:pre_miRNA from 1 species